rnacentral:rRNA from 1 species
GACGAACCGUGCAAACGUUAUUCGGAAUCACUGGGCUUAAAGCGCGUGUAGGCGGGACGGCACGUCGGUCGUUGAAAUCCCCCGGCUCAACCGGGGAACGGGCGCCGAUACGACCGUCCUGGAGGGACGUAGGGGGACCUGGAACUUCCGGUGGAGCGGUGAAAUGCGUUGAGAUCGGAAGGAACGCCCGUGGCGAAAGCGAGGUCCUGGACGUUUUCUGACGCUGAGACGCGAAAGCCAGGGGAGCGAACGGG